rnacentral:rRNA from 1 species
CCUACGGGAGGCAGCAGUGGGGAAUAUUGGGCAAUGGGCGCAAGCCUGACCCAGCAAUGCCGCGUGAAGGAAGAAGGCUUUCGGGUUGUAAACUUCUUUGACAGGGGAAGAGCAGAAGACGGUACCCUGAAAACCAGCCACGGCUAACUACGUGCCAGCAGCCGCGGUAAUACGUAGGUGGCAAGCGUUGUCCGGCUUUACUGGGUGUAAAGGGCGUGUAGCCGGGAAGGCAAGUCAGAUGUGAAAUCUGGAGGCUCAACCUCCAAAUUGCAUUUGAAACUGUUUUUCUUGAGUACUGGAGAGGCAGACGGAAUUCCUUGUGUAGCGGUGAAAUGCGGAGAUAUAAGGAGGAACACCAGUGGCGAAGGCGGUCUGCUGGACAGCAACUGACGGUGAGGCGCGAAAGCGUGGGGAGCAAACAGGAUUAGAUACCCCAGUAGUC